ACAACUUUCAAAAGGAGGAAGAUGUUUUACCCUGAGGUUCAAGGAAAAGAGGAAUAGCUGGGAGCAGCACAGGUAGCUUCUAAGGUUGCAGAGCAGGAAAGGUGAAAUAUAUGUUACUUGGUAACUCUUAAUAUCAUGUACUCAGAGUGAAGGAGUGAAAUUCAGGAGGAAAGGAAAAGUAUGCCUAAUCCCUGAGUUGAAUGAGAGUGGGAAAGCUGAUAAAAGAUAAACUCUUCAUGGUAAAAUUAAUCUGGUAUAAGUAGCUUUUCUCUUGGUGUACUGUUCUUUGCAAGGUUUUAUUUGCAGGUAUGAAAUGCCUGGUUCGUGGAUGGUUGCUAAGAGAUAUGCUUACUCUGAAAUAUCUUUUUCACCUUCCUUUACUUUUCACCAUUACACUCUUUAGUUCAUUAGAAAACUAUGGGGGAAAGGAUUAGUCUCCUCAAACAUCCGUUAGAUAUGUAUACCUGGCAACGGUCCCUCUAAAAACGUAGUACAUCAUUUUAGCUCCAUUAUUGAAACACAAAGUCAUAAGAUGAUGUAAUAUACAACAGAUGAUUUCCAGUGGGGUAAAAUUGUAACAACCACCAUUGUGGGCGGGUGAGAACAAACACAGUGUAUAGGUUAGGAAGGGCAGAUCUUUAUACUAAGAAUGGAAGAUAUCCAAAAGGAAGGGGACGAUACGAAGAUGAACUUCAUCUCACAGUUUUGCUUUAAUAGCCCAGAAUAUGGAUAAUUAUGGUUACUUACCUCUAGCAGUGUAGUAUUGAUAGGAAGGCCUAGACAAUAUAGUCUGGAUUGAUUGGAUAAACACAGAGGAACAAGAGAGCGGCAGAAUUGUACCAUGCAUGCAGCAGGCCAUGCUCUACACGGGCCUCUCAGGAUGCAGCAGAGAGACACUGAAACUGGACAUUGUAGAAGAUGAAUUAUGAGAGUGAUUUAUGAAAGAAAGACAGUGGAGAAUUGCAAUCGAUGGAGACAUUCAAAGAAAAGACUUUGGCACUACAUCAAAAGAGAGUAGAAUAAGUAGUCUUUGCUUAUACAUUUUAAAUGAAAAUAAAUGUUUAUCAUACAUAUUUGCUGUUUUUUAAACUGUAAUUCAAUUACUAAGGCUGAAGGGAAGAAUGGAUGUUGGAUAAAGAACUUUCGAUUCUGUCAUUGUUAGUAUUAUUUGUGUGCGUAUGUGUGUGUGUGUGUGUGUGUGAAUGUUGAGCUUCUCAGCUUCAAUAGUUAGCAGGAAAAAGCACUGAAUCGUGAAGCAUAAACUACAAAUAUAGCAUCUGUAUGAUAUUCUCUUUAAAAAAUGGUAAAAUUCUAGGAAACAGUCUUUGGUGCUUGCUUUUUUAGAAUGAUUGGCAUGGGAUCUGAGUCUUAGUUUCAGCUUUUAUGACUGCUUUUUACUGCAUCAAAUAUUUGACCAGGCAAAGUACAUUUCAAUGAACAGCUUUACUCCCCUUUAAAAGAAUCUGAAAGUCCAGCUAAAACUCCUCAUCAAGUUAGCUGGGAUCAUGGUGUUCAUUUUGGAUGAGGCAAUGUACUAAUUCAUUCAGUCAGCUCGAUUUGACAUUUCUGGGUUAGGGUAUCUUCCUUAAAAGUUACACAAUAAGUUGGAAUUAAAGUGCUCUGCUUGCUUUUGAUAAGACUGAUCAAAAGAGUGAUAGGAGUAAUCACUACUUAGAAUCCUAUUUAAUAAGUAUUUUCCAUUUAUCUAACUCUAAGGAGAAUUUAGGCUAUUUGUCUAGUGAAAUCCAUUUGAUACCAGGAUUUGUUAUGGCCAUUCUACAAUCAGGUGUUCCUAAUGUAAUGAAUGAGAUAAAAAAUAAUUAAGCUAACAUUUAUAUGAUGCUUACUACUUCCAGAAACUGUUAUUAUGCAUUAUUAACUGACUUAAUCCUCCUUACCACUUUAGGGGGUAGAUACUAUUAUUAUUCCUUUUUUUUUCAGAUGACGAAACUAAAGCACAAAGAGAUUAAAGAACUUAUCCAAGGUCAUGCAGCUGGAAAGAAGUGGAUUUGGGAUUGUGAACAUCACAAUUUCACAAACUACAUUUCAUGAUGGGUAGAGCUAGUCAAACGUCUGAAAAUAAAGUUUGGUUUAAAGAUGA